CCCUUAGAUGUUCUGGGCUGCACACGCGCUACACUGGCAGGUUCAGCGAGCUUCUUGCCCUGAUCUGAGAAGAAUGGGAAACCUUUUCAACACCUGCCGUGCUUGGGAUAGAUGUUUGCAAUUAUUCAUCUUCAACAAGGAUUGCCUUGUAGGCGUGCCUCAUCAGGGCACAUCGAAUACGACCCUGUAUUCUGUACACACCGCCCGUCGCUCCUACCGAUUGAAUGAUUUAGUGAGGACUUCGGACUGGGACCGAUGCGGCUUUCGGGCUGCGUCGGUAUUCUGGAAAGAUGUCCAAACUGUAUCAUUUAGAGGAAGUAAAANUCGUAACA
rnacentral:rRNA from 1 species